rnacentral:sRNA from 1 species
UCUAAUGUCUCCGCUUUGCCACCU